UUUGUGUUUGUGUAGUUAUAUGUGUGUUUGUGCAGCUAUAUGUGUGUUUGUGUUUGUGUAAUUCCCUGGUUCCUUCUGUGCUUCCUUAUUUUUCUUACAUGAUUCCUUGUCUACUUCCUUACGUGCUUAUUUGAUUCCUUGUUUAAUUUCUUGUAUGCUUCCUUAGAUGAUUUGAUUCCUUUUUUUCUUCCUCUGUCUUCUUUGAUUCUUUACUAGCUUUACUUACACACUUAUUCAUUAAUAACUUUAUAGUUUCAUUUCUUAAAAUGUAAUCAAAACUUGUAGGUUUCUUGUUUCCUCAUAUAAUUGGUCAUCUAUCUACUGAUUAAUCUAACACUUUUAUUAGUUAAAUACCAGUUGAGCAACAAAUUGCAGAUACCAAACUUGAUGUGCUUGUCCUAUAGCCAACAAGGUUGUACCAAACCAGAAUAGAUCUUCCCAUCCAUGGUCAUGACUGUCCUAAACAAUAUAAAGGUCUACAAGAGUGUAAAAAUCAGGUCAUGUUCUUACUCAAACUGGACUAAGGAGCUAAACCAAUAACCGUAACAAGAAACAGAUUUUGCUGGUUAUGGAUAGUUGUAAAGCCAGAAGUUUCAUGGGGGUCUAGUGUGUCACUUAGCUUUCUUCUUAUGUCGUCAAUGCAAUAUGCUAUCACGUUCUUAGGCUAGUCCUCGAACUAUAAAGUACCUCUCGAAAGGGGACACCGUUGUUGACUAUGCAUGCUUUUCUGAUUCACAUGGAAAUCGAAAGCAAUAUAGUAGCAGCAAAGGUAAAUGGUUAUCUUGUUUCUCCAACUCACGUUCUUGAGAAUUGUUGAUGUCGUGGAGACUGUCACCUACAACAUUUUGUACCUUUUCUCUCGUGCAUUUUUUCUCAUUUCUCGUUUUCUUUUUUUUCUACGUACGGAAAUUAUGUUUAGCUUCAUCAGCUCUACCGAGGUUUCAUGAGCUUUCAUGUUUCUUCUUUCUGUUACAGCCCCUCUCAACUAAAUCUGCUUUCCAGAGACAUAAACAGUGGUUGAAACAUGCCAAAAAAAAGAGUGCGAGGCAGAAGAUUAUGAGGGUAUAUUAUUGUGAUGCAGAAGAUUCAAGAAAGAGCUUACAAUGGUGGGAGAAAAUCCUCGUCAAUGUCAAGCUGUUCCCAGUCACAAGACAAAAUCAGAUAUACAUCACAAGAAAAGGGCAGAGAUAUUACCCACUUCUCAAAAUGGAAGCACUUGGUCCCAAAGGAGAUGGAAUUGCCAAGAUUUUUCCUGCUAACAUCCCUGCUUAUAGAAAAGUGUGAUAGUUGGCGAGACAGUAAAAGCUCGAAGGUCACUCCAUCAAAUGGUUCUGCAUAGUAUCCAUGGAUCGCAGAGGCAUAUUCUCAAAGGUUACAACAGUCCUUGCAGCUGAAAGCAUCACAGUACGUUCUUGUUUAGUAGCCUUGAUAUUAACUUACCUCUGAACAUAUUAUAGUUUCUGACGGCUCAUCUCACAAAUCUUAUGGUUUAUUCCAUGCCGCGAUUGGCCAAGGAAGAGGAUUAGAAGUAAUGUUUGCUUCUGUGGAUAUGUAACUCCCAGGUUAGUGUUUUGCGCAGGUGGAUCUAAUCUUGGGAUGAUCGAGUGGUUUUAGCUGGCCAAAAUCAACGGAUGAUGCUCAAGUUCUUGAGUGUUAAAGCCAAAAGACUCACGUUCUUGGCCAUGUUUUUUCUUCUUACUUUUUUCUUUGAUUCGUUGUUUCUUUUGCUUGCGUGCUUCAUUACGUUCUUGCUUUGUUACUUGCUAUAUUCAGUUUGUUUUCUUGCUCAACUUGUUUGCUUUUGCUGCUUCUUUGAUUACUCUGCUUUGUGUAUUGCUUGUUUCUUUGCUUCUUUGAUUCCUCUUUUGUGCUUCCUUGAUUCUUCUGUUUAUUACAUUGUUUGUUCUUUUGAUUCCUCUGCUUAGUGUAUUAAGUGUUUCUUUGCUUCUUAGAUUCUUCUUCUGUAUAAUAAAUUGUUUGUGCUUUUUUGGGCUCAACCAUUUUGUUUGCUUAUUUGAUUCUUUGUUUAGUGCAUUUGCUUGUAGGGAUGUCAAAUGGGCUGUCCUGGUCCAAAUGGGCUAGCCCAAAUGGACUUAUGGACAUAGCCCAAAAAGGGCCAUAUCCAAAUGAAGACCAAACCAACUAAGACCAUGACCAAUUGGACUGUCCAUGAGGUCCAUUACAUAAACACAAUGUAUAAGUUCAUGCAUGAGGAAAACGUUUAUAACUCCUAAUCUUUUUGAACUUUUGAUACAAGUUCAUACACGAGAAAAACGUUCAUACAAGUUCACCAAAUGUUCGUUCUUUUGAUUUUGCAAAAUCAUACAUAUAAAUAACCUA